rnacentral:rRNA from 1 species
UGGAGGCAGCAGUGAGGAAUAUUGGACAAUGGGCGCAAGCCUGAUCCAGCCAUGCCGCGUGCAGGAAGACGCAUCUAUGGUGUGUAAACUGCUUUUGUACGGGAAGAAACACUCCUACGUGUAGGAGCUUGACGGUACCGUAAGAAUAAGGAUCGGCUAACUCCGUGCCAGCAGCCGCGGUAAUACGGAGGAUCCAAGCGUUAUCCGGAAUCAUUGGGUUUAAAGGGUCCGUAGGCGGUUUAAUAAGUCAGUGGUGAAAGCCCAUCGCUCAACGAUGGAACGGCCAUUGAUACUGUUAGACUUGAAUUAUUAGGAAGUAACCAGAAUAUGUAGUGUAGCGGUGAAAUGCUUAGAUAUUACAUGGAAUACCAAUUGCGAAGGCAGGUUACUACUAAUACAUUGACGCUGAGGGACGAAAGCGUGGGGAGCGAACAGGAUUAGAUACCCCGGUAGC